rnacentral:misc_RNA from 1 species
GAUGAAGAACUCAGCGAAAUGCGAUAAGUAGUGUGAAUUGCAGAAUUCAGUGAAUCAUCGAAUCUUUGAACGCACAUUGCGCCCCUUGGUAUCCCGAGGGGCAUGCCUGUUCGAGCGUCAUUUCACCACUCAAGCCUGGCUUGGUGUUGGGCGACGUCCCCUUUGGGGACGCGCCUCGAAACGCUCGGCGGCGUGGCACCGGCUUUAAGCGUAGCAGAAUCUUUCGCUUUGGAAGUCGGGGCCCCGUCUGCCGGAAGACCUACUCGCAAGGUUGACCUCGGAUCAGGCAGGGAUACCCGCUGAACUUAAGCAUAUCAAUAAGCGAGA